GAGGGCCGUUUCUGUCUUUGGUUAUCUAGCUGUAUGAGUGUAAUCGACCCAUCAUAAAGCUAGAUAACCGAAAGUAGAAAUGACUCC
ensembl:miRNA aca-mir-9-2 aca-mir-9-2